rnacentral:rRNA from 1 species
GGAUCUAAAAAAGUUUGUUUUGCUUAUCAAUAAAGACAAUUAAAUGGCUGCGGUAACACUAACUGUGAAAAUGUAGCGUAAUAAAUUGUUAAUUAAUUGUUGACCGGUAUGAAUGGUGUCACGAAAGUUUCUCUGUCUUAAAAAAAUACUUAAUGAAAUUGAAUUUGUAGUGAAGAUGCUACAUUAAAAUUGUAAGACGAGAAGUCCCCAUGGAACUUUACUGAGGGCUUAGGGGUUUCUAUAAGCGGGACAGUUUUGUUGGGGCGACAGUUUUUUAAAAAGUAACAAAAACGAACUAUGGCGUAGCUUCACCCUGAAAAACUUUUUAAGGGACAUUUUUGGUGUGUUUUAUGAACCGUUGUUUGGAAUGAAAAAAAUAACGAAAACAAAUAAAAGUUACCCUGGGAU